rnacentral:lncRNA from 1 species
CUGAUCACGACGUACCUGCUUCAGGUGAUCUUCUUAAUUCCACAUACUGCUUAGGAAAUUAUGUUACUGAUUCUUGUAGAGCUAUUAUUCCAUUCGUUCAUUACUUUCCCUCAGGUUCUACUAGUGAAGCAACUUUGAAUACACCUGAUCUUGUNAGGUUCUACUAGUGAAGCAACUUUGAAUACACCUGAUCUUGUAGAAAGUGGUAGUAAAAAGGUUUCAGCUUGCCUGUUUUCUCCUGAUCCUGACUCGUAUUCUGGAGAGGUUUGGGUGAAGCUCAGUAGACAUGUGCCUUCUGUCAUAGAAAAUCUCCAAAAG